AUACGUAGGUGGCAAGCGUUGUCCGGAAUUAUUGGGCGUAAAGCGCGCGCAGGUGGUUCCUUAAGUCUGAUGUGAAAGCCCCCGGCUCAACCGGGGAGGGUCAUUGGAAACUGGGGAACUUGAGUGCAGAAGAGGAUAGUGGAAUUCCAAGUGUAGCGGUGAAAUGCGUAGAGAUUUGGAGGAACACCAGUGGCGAAGGCGACUGUCUGGUCUGUAACGGACACUGAGGCGCGAAAGCGUGGGGAGCAAACAGGAUUAGAUACCCUGGUAGUCCACGCCGUAAACGAUGAGUGCUAAGUGUUGGGGGGUUUCCGCCCCUCAGUGCUGCAGCUAACGCAUUAAGCACUCCGCCUGGGGAGUACGGUCGCAAGACUGAAACUCAAAUGAAUUGGCGGGG
rnacentral:rRNA from 1 species